GCCGAAGUGGUGAAAUUGGUAGACGCGCACGGUUCAGGGCCGUGUGAGCGCAAGCUCGUGUGGGUUCGAGUCCCACCUUCGGCA
rnacentral:tRNA from 1 species